CAGGAAAUAGUUUAUAUAAAACUUUGGCUUUGGGGGCCAUUAAACCUCAGUUUGGUUUCCUGA
rnacentral:tRNA from 1 species